rnacentral:rRNA from 1 species
GACGAACGCUGGCGGCGUGCUUAACACAUGCAAGUCGAACGGAAAGGCCCUGCUUUUGUGGGGUGCUCGAGUGGCGAACGGGUGAGUAACACGUGAGUAACCUGCCCUUGACUUUGGGAUAACUUCAGGAAACUGGGGCUAAUACCGGAUAGGAGCUCCUGCUGCAUGGUGGGGGUUGGAAAGUUUCGGCGGUUGGGGAUGGACUCGCGGCUUAUCAGCUUGUUGGUGGGGUAGUGGCUUACCAAGGCUUUGACGGGUAGCCGGCCUGAGAGGGUGACCGGCCACAUUGGGACUGAGAUACGGCCCAGACUCCUACGGGAGGCAGCAGUGGAGAAUAUUGCACAAUGGGCGGGAGCCUGAUGCAGCAACGCCGCGUGCGGGAUGACGGCCUUCGGGUUGUAAACCGCUUUCGCCUGUGACGAAGCGUGAGUGACGGUAAUGGGUAAAGAAGCACCGGCUAACUACGUG